rnacentral:rRNA from 1 species
GGCUAACUACGUGCCAGCAGCCGCGGUAAUACGUAGGUGGCGAGCGUUGUCCGGAUUUACUGGGUGUAAAGGGCGUGUAGGCGGGCAUACAAGUCAGAUGUGAAAACUACAGGCUUAACUUGUAGACUGCAGUUGAAACUGGUUUUCUUGAGUGAAGUAGAGGUUGGCGGAAUUCCGAGUGUAGCGGUGAAAUGCGUAGAUAUUCGGAGGAACACCGGUGGCGAAGGCGGCCAACUGGGCUUUAACUGACGCUGAGGCUCGAAAGUGUGGGGAGCAAACAG